rnacentral:rRNA from 1 species
UACAUAGGGGGCAAGCGUUAUCCGGAAUUAUUGGGUGUAAAGGGUGCGUAGACGGAGAAACAAGUUGGUUGUGAAAUCCCUCGGCUCAACCGAGGAACUGCAACCAAAACUAUUUCCCUUGAGUGUCGGAGAGGAGAGUGGAAUUCCUAGUGUAGCGGUGAAAUGCGUAGAUAUUAGGAGGAACACCAGUGGCGAAGGCGACUCUCUGGACGAUAACUGACGUUGAGGCACGAAAGUGUGGGGAGCAAACAGG